AUCACUUCUCAGUCUUUGGGCUCCGAUCAAGUGUAGUAUCUGUUCUUAUCUGUUUAGUAUCUGAGACGUCCUCUAUCCGAGGACAAUAUUUUAAAUGGAUUUUUGGAGCAGGGAGAUGGACUAGGAGCUUGCUCGGUCUACCCCAUGCAUCGACCUGGUAUUACAGUGCAUCCAGGAACAGUGCACGCCUC
ensembl:snRNA U2 U2 spliceosomal RNA